CCUACGGGCGGCAGCAGUGAGGAAUAUUGGUCAAUGGGCGCAAGCCUGAACCAGCCAAGUCGCGUGAGGGAUGACGGUCCUAUGGAUUGUAAACCUCUUUUGUCGGGGAGCAAGGCCCGCCACGUGUGGCGGGACGGAGAGUACCCGAAGAAAAAGCAUCGGCUAACUCCGUGCCAGCAGCCGCGGUAAUACGGAGGAUGCGAGCGUUAUCCGGAUUUAUUGGGUUUAAAGGGAGCGUAGACGGUGCGCCAAGUCUGGAGUGAAAUGCCGCAGCUUAACUGCGGAACUGCUUUGGAAACUGGCGAACUAGAGUGCGGGAGGGGUAAGCGGAAUUCCUAGUGUAGCGGUGAAAUGCGUAGAUAUUAGGAGGAACACCGGUGGCGAAGGCGGCUUACUGGACCGUAACUGACGUUGAGGCUCGAAAGCGUGGGGAGCAAACAGGAUUAGAUACCCUAGUAGUC
rnacentral:rRNA from 1 species